rnacentral:misc_RNA from 1 species
GACAUUAGCCUUGACAACAUUCAGUCCAAGAUUUUUUAGUGCAGUCAUUGUGUCAAGAAGAGCCCCAAGGCGAUCACCAAAGGUAACCUCCACUACAGUUGUUUCUGGAUCCGAAUCCAAAUCUAUUAUGACUUUGGGCGUUGGGACAGCAGUAUCUUGGGAACUUCCACCCUCAACAGCUGCAGUUGAAGAUGCUUUUGGAAUAAUUGUACUCUCAGAAAAAGCUAAUCUCUUGGGAACAAGGCAUAUUCUCUGUACAGGAUCCAAACCAAAAGAACCUCUGAAGAGAACUGAACUUGAAAUGGGUAUUUUCUCAAUUGCAUUUAAAUUAGUAUAAACCCCAGAAAUGCUCCCACAAGAAGCCAUAGCCACAGCCAUAUCAGUUCAAGAAUAUUGAAAAAUUGAACAAAAGCUGUAUAAAAGGAAAAAAAGUUUGCGUCUUUUUCACUUAGUGAAAUAGUAUACUAGUAAAGGAAGUAACCAAAGAGAAUCACGGAAAUGGAAAGAUAAGAAAAGACGCAAAUUUUAAGAGAAGAAGAAGCAAUAGUGUUGAUUGUUCUUCUAGUAGUAUCCGCCAUUAUAAUGGAAGGUGUCCUCUUUAUAAUAUACGUAAAAAGGUAUAAAAUUAUGGGCCUUGUUUGUCUUUGUUGAUGAAAGCUGAGCCUUAGAAAUUUACUUCAAUU